rnacentral:tRNA from 1 species
UGGAAUGUGGCUCAGUGGCAGAGUACUUGCCCAGCAUGUGUGAGGCUCUGGGUUCUAUUCCCAGCAUGGCAA